ACGGAGUAUUGGUCAAUGGAGGCAACUCUGAACCAGCCAUGCCGCGUGCAGGAAGACGGCCCUCUGGGUUGUAAACUGCUUUUAUUCGGGAAUAAACCUACUUACGUGUAAGUAGCUGAAUGUACCGAAGGAAUAAGGAUCGGCUAACUCCGUGCCAGCAGCCGCGGUAAUACGGAGGAUCCAAGCGUUAUCCGGAUUUAUUGGGUUUAAAGGGUGCGUAGGCGGCCUAUUAAGUCAGGGGUGAAAGACGGUAGCUCAACUAUCGCAGUGCCCUUGAUACUGAUGGGCUUGAAUGAACUAGAGGUAGGCGGAAUGUGACAAGUAGCGGUGAAAUGCAUAGAUAUGUCACAGAACACCGAUUGCGAAGGCAGCUUACUAUGGUUUUAUUGACGCUGAGGCACGAAAGCGUGGGGAUCAAAC
rnacentral:rRNA from 1 species